AUAUUAUGAGAUUCUCGCAUGGGAAACUUAUGAAAGCUAUAUGCGCCAAGAGAGAGCCUUGCGUUCCAUUAGCUAGUUGGUGGGGUAACGGCCCACCAAGGCGACGAUGGAUAGCCGGCCUGAGAGGGUGAACGGCCACAAGGGGACUGAGACACGGCCCUUACUCCUACGGGAGGCAGCAGUGGGGAAUAUUGGACAAUGGGCCACAAGCCUGAUCCAGCAAUUCUGUGUGCACGAUGAAGGUCUUCGGAUUGUAAAGUGCUUUCAGUUGGGAAGAAGAAAGUGACGGUACCAACAGAAGAAGCGACGGCUAAAUACGUGCCAGCAGCCGCGGUAAUACGUAUGUCGCAAGCGUUAUCCGGAUUUAUUGGGCGUAAAGCGCGUCUAGGCGGAAAAAUAAGUCUGANGUUAAAAUGCGGGGCUCAACUCCGUAUUGCGUUGGAAACUGUUUUNCUAGAGUACUGGAGAGGUGGGCGGAACUACAAGUGUAGAGGUGAAAUUC
rnacentral:rRNA from 1 species